UACAGAGGUCCCAAGCGUUGUUCGGAUUCACUGGGCGUAAAGGGUGCGUAGGUGGUUAGGUAAGUCCGAUGUGAAAUCUCCAGGCUCAACCUGGAAAUGGCAUUGGAUACUAUUUAGCUUGAGGAGUGGAGGGGGGACUGGAAUUCUCGGUGUAGCAGUGAAAUGCGUAGAUAUCGAGAGGAACACCAGUGGCGAAGGCGAGUCCCUGGGCACUUCCUGACACUGAGGCACGAAAGCUAGGGGAGCAAACAGG
rnacentral:rRNA from 1 species